rnacentral:rRNA from 1 species
CCCUUAGAUGUUCUGGGCCGCACGCGCGCUACACUGAUGCAUUCAACGAGUCUAAAACCUGCUCUGAUAGGGGUGGGUAAUCUUUUGAAUGUGCAUCGUGAUUGGGAUAGAUGAUUGCAAUUUUUCAUCUUCAACGAGGAAUGCCUAGUAAACGCAAGUCAUCAGCUUGCAUUGAUUACGUCCCUGCCCUUUGUGCACACCGCCCGUCGCUCCUACCGAUUGAAUGAUCCGAUGAAUAUCAUGGAUUGAGGAUGCAAGCAGGUUCGCCUGUCUUCAUCUUCGAGAAGUGAAGUAAAUCUUAUCAUUUAGAGGAAGGAGAAGUCGUAACA